UGACCGGGGCCCAAGUAGCAUAAUCAUUUGUCUUUUAAUUAAAGGCUUGUAUGAAUGGUUGGAUGAGAUAUAAUCUAUUUUUAUUUAAUUAAAAAUGAAUUUUAAUUUUUAGUAAAAAUGCUAAAAUAAAAAAUAUAGACGAGAAGACCCUAUAAAUCUUUAUUAUUUUUUUAUUAAUUUAUUAAUAGAAUAUUAAAUUUAUUAGUAUAAAAAUAAUUUUAUUGGGGUGAUAAUGAAAUUUAAUAAACUUUUAUUUUAUUUUAUAAAUAUAAUUAAUUUAAUGAUCCAUUUUUAAUGAUUAUAAAAUUAAGUUACUUUAGGGAUAACAGCGUGAUUAUUUUAAAGAGUUCAUAUCGAUAAAAUAGUUUGCGACCUCGAUGUUGAAUUAAGAGUAAGUUUAGGUGUAGAAGUUUA
rnacentral:rRNA from 1 species